AUCGAACGCUGGCGGCAGGCCUAACACAUGCAAGUCGAGCGGAGCGGCGGACGGGGGAGUAAUACCUAGGAAUCUGCCUGGUAGUGGGGGAACACGCUCGGAAACGGACGCUAAUACCGCAUACUUUCAGGUCAGCUUAGGUCGGAUUAGCUAGGUGGUGAGGUAAUGGCUCACCAAGGUUACGAUCCGUAACGGGCCUGAGAGGAGGAUCAGUCACACUGGGACGGAGACACGGUCCAGACUCCUACGGGAGGCAGCAGUGGGGAAUAUUGGGCAAUGGGCGAAAGCCUGAUCCAGCCAUGCCGCGUGUGUGAAGAAGGUCUUCGGAUUGUAAAGCACUUUAAGUUGGGAGGCGUUACCUACCGAAUAAGCACCGGCUAACUCUGUGCCAGCAGCCGCGGUAAUAC
rnacentral:rRNA from 1 species